GGGAAGGUCUGGUCUGUUUGUUGUAACGAAUAGAAAGAUGGGAAGCAGAAGAAAGCUUGGCGUUAAAACUGCGGAUGUUAACGAAGGAUCUUGGUAUGACAGAGGAAGAUCUGGGGCAGGUGGAAGUUGCGGGAGUAAGGUUGGUGAGAUUGGAAAUGGACGCCAUUUUUUUCCAGCUGGGGAAGUAUGAAAAGUGUUAUUCUUGGUUUGAUCGGAUGAUAAAAACAAGAAAAGUGAGAACCAAUGGGGUUUUGCUGGAAUGGUGAGUUAGGUGGACUAGUAAAAAUGAUGGAUUGCUGCUCUAAUAGUUGUCUGAUACAGAAUAGUAACAAUAAUCCAUCGAGCUAAUGGUGUCUUAUGAUAAACAUGAGAGGUUGCUUCACGUCUUGUAAUAGCUGCUGUUAGUUUGCAAGGGGUCGUACUUUGACUAAUCGUACUUUGAAAAGGUCAAACGUUUAGAAGACAAAAUGAGUCGAGAUACGGAACUCUUUGUUGUACAUACAGCUUUUAAUUUUUGAUAGCGCCUACAAACUUAAGAGAUACCAACUGAUCUGUUUAGGCAUGCAUAUGAUAAGCAUUAAACAAUAAACACAGACUAUAAACAGUCUUUCACCAUCAUCAUCGAAAAACAGAACUUAGAGUACACGUUCAAUAAAUAUGACAAGUUUCUUAUUAUUCAGCAAAAAAACAAGACAAUCUUGCUCUAAAUUGCCUUAAUAUUAAAAGAAAAAAACAGAUGAGAAUCUUUGAGACACAGACACUGUCUGCUGUUGUGCUUUUAUUCGUCAUUAACCAAUGAGUAACUUAUUCUCUUCCAAGAAGCUGUAGGUUGGUACCUCCAGGUUGUAUGGAGCAGGACCUUUCCUAAUCCUUCCAGAGAUAUCAUAAUGCGAACCGUGACAAAUAUGGCUGAUUCGGAUAAAUUUAAAUAUUUUGGUUACAAAUAUUUUUUGAAUAAUUCGGUUCUUUCAAGUAUUUCAAAUAGUUUUAAAUAUUUCAGAUAAAAAAAUUCUGGAUAAUUUGGUUUAUAAAUGAUAUUUUAGAAGUUCAGUAAAUUUUCAAUAAUAUAAAUUAUAUUUUAGAUAGUUACAUACCAAUUUAAUUUUCGCUUCAGUUUCGGUUUUGGAUUUCCAAGAUAUGGAAACUGUUUAAAUAAUUGUGAACAUCGGUUUGGUUUUGGAUUAGUUUUUUCAGAUUUGGUUCAGUUUUCAGCUUACUCACAAUAUGUAAAAGUUACUUAUAAAUUGAAGUAACUCCACUAAAACAUCAUAAUACAAGAACAAGUGUGAACAUGCCAUAUAACAGCUCUAGGAAACGUAGAGUUUGAAGAACAAAGCCGAAGGCUCUUCUUUUAUUCCAUUACUACAGUAAACAAAACGAAGAGCCAAGGUUCAAAUCUGUGACGUUAAGCGUUUUCUUUCUCCUCUUCAUUGGCUGGCUAGUUUGAGAGAGUUGGCCUUGUCUUGAAGUGUACCAAGCAGACUCUCGAAACUCUUCUUGAACGAGUCUACACCUUCUUCUUCCAACUGUUCUCCCACUUUGUUCCAGUCUAUUCCCAGCUUCUCUAGUGCACUGUACACCCCUUCUGCUUCUGACACAUUCGCAUCUAUCGUCCUCUUCACCGUUCCAUGGUCAAUGAACGCUUCCAGCGCUUGAUCCGGCAUGGUUGACACCUAAACCCAAACCAAAAAUAUAAACACUUGUUUUGGGAAGUGAAACAUGAGACGGCAAACACAAAAGAUGACUCACAGUGUCAGGUCCAAUGAGAGGAGCAACAUAUAAAGUGUCAGAGUAAGCUGGGUUCUUGACACUUGUCGAUGCCCAGAGAAGCCUCUGCUUCUUGGCACCUUUCUUCACCAAAGCUUCCCAUCUUGGGCCUGAGAACUUUUUCUGGUAUAGUUGGUAUGCUAAUGCAGCUUGAGCCACAGCCGCCUGCAAGAACAACACAUCAGGUGUUCACAAACUCAUAAACUCAUUCACAGCAAUGAACCGAGAUUUUACCUUGCCACGGAGGUCUAGAGCUUCUGGGGUACCAAUCUUCUCAAGCAUCUUGUCCAUGAGAGUAUCCACCCUACUCACAAAGAAGGAAGCAACACUUGUAACUCUUGAGAGGUCAUCAAGUCCAGACGCCUCGAGUCCAUCCAAAUAUGCAUCGAUCACUGCCUCAUAUCUAGCUAUUGAGAAUAUAAGCUGCAACAGAACAGAACAAGGAUGUAUCAUAUAAGAACAUAACCGUUAAUUCCUGGAAAUGUCUUUAAAUAUUUGUAUACACCAACGUUCGUUUCGGGUUUUGAGACUGCUAUAAAUAUGAGUCUAAUCAGUUGUAAAUUUAUUCAUUCACGUAAUAAUAUACAAAUUCUAAAAACGGGUAUUUGCCUCAAUAUGUUUUGCUCUUGAGUUAUUUGCUUUCUUCAAGUUUGAUUCGUGUUUGUUCACAACACACUACAAUUUUUUUAAGUAUUAUAACUCAGUUUAGGACAAGUUACUUACCGUGACAUUGACACUUAUUCCAGAAGCAAUGACAUCUCUGAUGGAAGGAAUACAUGGAGCAGUAGCAGGGAUCUUAAUAUAGACAUUACGACGGUUCACAGACUUGUGAAGAAGUUUAGCAGCUUUAACAGUGGUUUUGGUAUCAUCAGCAAGCAGAGGUGAAACUUCAACAGAAACAUAGCCAUCCUCAGCAUCAGUCUGGUCAUAGAUUGGCUCAAAAAGCUUGCAAGCAUCUUGAAUAUCCUUCACCACAAGCUCCCAGUACGCUUUUUUAAUGGCCGUUCCAGACUCCACAAGUGUCCUAAUAAAAACAAAAAGAAACUGAUUCUAAUACAGCCAAAAAAGCAUCAUAAAGAUAUGCAUCCACACUAUUACCUGAACUGAUCAUUAUAAGCAUCUGAAGUGGAUAUGGCUUUCUGGAAGAUCUACAAAGGUUUUAAUAGAGUGAAGGAGUUUUAAGACAAAAUGAAACAACCAGAGAGUAAAAUAAAGGUAAAAGGGCACAAAGAGAGAUGGUUAUUAAAAAAUUACCGCAGGGUUGCUAGUUACACCACGAACGCCACGGGCAAUGAAGGGGAUAAGAUCAGUGACAGGACGGCAUAGAUUAUCAUACCAAGGACUCUGGCCUUCCUUCUCAUAUAGAUCGUGAAGAGUGGUUCUCUUUGCAGUACUUCCAUUUCCACCAGAGGCUGAACACCUCACACUGUAAAAUCAACCAAAGGAAGAAAGAGUACAUAAAAUCAAAUUCUGCUGCAGAUAGAGAAACAUAUAGUUUGCUUUUCUUAAACCAACCUAUCAACGUGAAUUGCAAGAUCAACCUUAUAGCAAGAAAAAGACUAUAGAGAGACAAGACACAUGCAUCAGUAAAGUUGAUAUGUAUACUUACAAGAGGGAAGGUCUGGUCUGUUUGUUGUAACGAAUAGAAAGAUGGGAAGCAGAAGAAAGCUUGGCGUUAAAACUGCGGAUGUUAACGAAGGAUCUUGGUAUGACAGAGGAAGAUCUGGGGCAGGUGGAAGUUGCGGGAGUAAGGUUGGUGAGAUUGGAAAUGGACGCCAUUUUUUUCCAGCUGGGGAAGUAUGAAAAGUGUUAUUCUUGGUUUGAUCGGAUGAUAAAAACAAGAAAAGUGAGAACCAAUGGGGUUUUGCUGGAAUGGUGAGUUAGGUGGACUAGUAAAAAUGAUGGAUUGCUGCUCUAAUAGUUGUCUGA
rnacentral:lncRNA from 1 species